rnacentral:sRNA from 1 species
UAAUGACCUAUGUCAAAUGUCAGAGGC